AGAGUUUGAUCAUGGCUCAGAACGAACGCUGGCGGCAUGCCUAACACAUGCAAGUCGAACGAGACCUUCGGGUCUAGUGGCGCACGGGUGCGUAACGCGUGGGAAUCUGCCCUAUGGUUCGGAAUAACAGUUAGAAAUGACUGCUAAUACCGGAUAAUGUCUUCGGACCAAAGAUUUAUCGCCAAAGGAUGAGCCCGCGUAAGAUUAGCUAGUUGGUGGGGUAAAAGCCUACCAAGGCGACGAUCUUUAGCUGGUCUGAGAGGAUGAUCAGCCACACUGGGACUGAGACACGGCCCAGACUCCUACGGGAGGCAGCAGUGGGGAAUAUUGGACAAUGGGCGAAAGCCUGAUCCAGCAAUGCCGCGUGAGUGAUGAAGGCCUUAGGGUUGUAAAGCUCUUUUACCCGGGAUGAUAAUGACAGUACCGGGAGAAUAAGCCCCGGCUAACUCCGUGCCAGCAGCCGCGGUAAUACGGAGGGGGCUAGCGUUGUUCGGAAUUACUGGGCGUAAAGCGUACGUAGGCGGCUUUGUAAGUUAGAGGUGAAAGCCCGGGGCUCAACUCCGGAAUUGCCUUUAAGACUGCAUCGCUUGAAUCAUGGAGAGGUUAGUGGAAUUCCGAGUGUAGAGGUGAAAUUCGUAGAUAUUCGGAAGAACACCAGUGGCGAAGGCGACUAACUGGACAUGUAUUGACGCUGAGGUACGAAAGCGUGGGGAGCAAACAGGAUUAGAUACCCCAGUAGUCC
rnacentral:rRNA from 1 species